rnacentral:rRNA from 1 species
GGACUACCCGGGUUUCUAAUCCUGUUCGCUCCCCACGCUUUCGCUCCUCAGCGUCAAUGUCGGCCCAGACCACCGCCUUCGCUGCUGGUGUUCUUCCUGAUAUCUGCGCAUUUCACCGCUACACCAGGAGUUCCGUGGUCCCCUACCGAAUUCAAGUCAUGACAGUAUCGAGUGGCAGCUCCAGGUUGAGCCUGGAGAUUUCACACCCGACUUAUCAAACCGCCUACGAGCUCUUUACGCCCAAUAAAUCCGGACAACGCUUGCACCCUACGUAUUACCGCGGCGGCUGGCAC